AGAAUUUGAGGACUGAUUCUCAGAACUGGGGAUUCAACUCAGCAAGGGAGUGACAUGGGCUGCUCCUUGGUUUUAAAGGACCUCUCUGGCUGAGUGGGCAGAGGGAGUUUCUGGACGGUGGGAGGGAGGCUUCUGCACCAAUACAGAUAAGCAACAAUGGUGGUAGAAGGAGGUGGAGGCAGAAGGGAGGACUCAGAGGCCCCUCUGGGCUUCAGGGGGCCCAGCAGGAAGUUGGUGGUCAGGAGGCCCAGCAGGAAGCCUACGACCCCCGUGCCCACCCCCACACUGUGCAGGCCUGUGGCUGCCCCAGGGCUGGGAAACGUGCCUGGAAUGUCAGCCACCAGGCCCAAGUGGGACUGUGCCCGUGGGACCCGCCUGACCAGGGCAAGCACCCUGGCCACAGCCCUGCCCACACAUGGAAUCCCUCGGGCCCACUGAACAGGGGGCCCGGAUGCAGCCUCGGAACCCUGCUCAACACAGCUCUGCAGCCACUGCCAAUCCAAGCACCCGAGGCCUGAUUCUCUCAAGAGGCAUCCCUGUGCCCCUGUCUCCAGGCAGGGGUCCAUCCAAGAGGUGGUUGGAAGGUUCCAGAAGGACGCUGCCUGCAGCAGAGAAUUAUCUCGUUCAAACUGCCAGUUGCGUCUUGGAUGAGAAACCCUGCAGAAGAGUAAGGGGUGGGCCCCAAAUCUCUGGACACCUGCCCCACGUCUUCUCACUGACCCCAAGGGCAGCUGACGCUAUUUUGGAGGAAACAACAAAGGGGAAACAUAUGGCAAGACACCCAUUUCUCAGAAAGUCUGGGUUGGAAGUCAGGAGACCUGGGUUCAAGUCCCACAUCUGCCUCUGACUCACAGUGUCACCUUUGGCCACUCACUUCCCCUUGUCUGGCCCUCAGGUUCCUCGUCUGGGGGUGAGGGGGUUGGACCGGCUGAUGUCCCAAGCCUUCCCCAGUUGACAAGAUGCUGUUGAAAUCAGGGCUAGGGAUAUUAUGCCCCCUUCCCAGCCCACCUCACUGUCCUAAAAGCACUGAAGUCCUGAGAGGGUGGCCACAUUCCCAGCUAAUAAACUCACAUGCCGUCUAACACGCAGCUUUGGCACCUUGCGCUGUGAUGACCUGUUACCUGUGUUUCUCAAAGUGAGGCUGCGGGGCAGGGUGUGCGGGCACCCUGCUUUGAGCUGCCUGAGCCAAAGUGCCCAAGCUCUGGGCUGGAAGUGAAUCACCAUGAGUUUGCACUUUGUAUAUUGUAGUCAUUCAUAACGUUGGUCUUUGUUUAUAAUAAUCACCAUGGGAAUGAAAUUAAAAUUCCUCACACCUUCCUUAGAGGCCCUGCAGGACCCGACCCUCUCACUUGCUCUGUUUCAGCCACAGUGGCUGCCCUGCUAUUCUUUGGAUCCACUUAACUUAUUCCUACCUCAGGGCCUUUGCCCUGGCUAUUCCUUCACCUUUGGCACCCCUCUUUAAGGUCACAGCUGCUUCUCAGGGAGGCCCUCUCUGGUCCCCCUAGUUAAGAAGGUCCUGGUCACUCUCCAUCACACCUCCAUACUUUUAUCUCCUCUAAGCCUUUACCAUGGUCUGAAAUGAUGCUGUUUGCUUACUAUCUAUCUGUCCAAAAACAGGGGUUUGUCUGCUCUGUUCUGUGGUGUGACCCCAACACUCUGCAAGGGCCUGACACAUAGUAGGGUCUCAUAGUAGAGGCACAGUGAAUCAGUGAAUAAGACUAGAAUCAUAGAAAUCCUCAGCAGUGGCCCUAGUCUUGAGCUGGAACAUCCGGCAUUUAUUGAGCACCUACUGUGUGCUGACCACUAUGCUACAGCUUCAUCCCUGGGGUGGGUGGUUUCAUCGUCUCAAUUUUGCAGAUAAGACUAAAGCUCCAGGCUUCAGAGCCUCAGAGGAUAGCGUGCCUUGAACCCAGUCUGAGAACUCCAGGGUUUGGGCUUCUUCCGCAAUGAGAGAGACACUGGGAAGGGAGCCGGGCUUCCCCCCCACACACUCCUUUUAUCUAAGACAGAGCCUCCUGAGCACCACCCUGUCCCCACCGCCUGGUGGAGCAACUGGGGCCAGGAUGGGAGCUGGGUGUGUGGACAGCCUGGCCUUGUGCCAGUCAGUGCCAGAAACUGGCUUGGGGAGCAAAGAGUCUGGACCCAGCCUGGUGGGGGGUGAUGCAGGCCACUUGUCCCAAAUGGGCUCCUGGUGUUCCGUGGGGCAUGGAGGGUGGCAGCAGGUACAGGGUACCUCUGGGAGCCCCGAGGUUCAGGCCCCUGCCUGCUUUCCCCUGGAGGUAGAGCGAACCCUAGGGUUCUGGUCUAGCCCUUGCUCAGUUUCAUGAUCUCAGCCUGGCACAGUUCAAGUCAUUCCACAAGCCUUCUCCAAGCAGCCCAGACCCAGAGCUGGGUGAUGCCGAGCAUAGAACAAACUCUGGCUCCCAAAGUCUGCCCUUGAGGGGCCGCCAGGGUGGGCAGGGAAGCAGCAGGUAAACAAUAACCAAAAGUCAGCCUGUAAGUCCUCAGUGCAGAUCCCUCCUUAAACACUUGCUGGCUGUGUGUCCUUGGGCAAAUCUCUUAACUUCUCUGGGCCCCCAUCUGCUUCCCUGGAGAUAAUUGUGCCUCCUACUCCAGGAGAGAUCCCAGCGCAGGAGCUGGCAGAUGGGCAGCGCUGCUGAUUCAAGUGGAAGUUUUCCAAAUUCAAGAUCUACUCUGGAAACAGAAAGGAGGGAGAAGACUGGGUAGCACAGGUUUCCCCUCCAGCUGGGGAAGUUCCCCAGUCCUCCUCCUACCCCCAGAGGAGGCACCUGCCUAACUGGGACUGGAACACCGUGGGAGUUUGGCACAGAAAAGCAGAAGGAAGGGCACUCCAGGCAGAAGGCACAGCCCGGGCAAAGGGUAGGUGUUUUGCUGGUGAGCCUCCUUCUGCCCUUGGGUCUCAGUUCAAAUGCCACCUCCUCACAGGGGCCCUCAUGCUCACCCCCUGUCCUCCAUCUAAGCAGCAGGCCUAUUUUCCUCCUUGAACGAAUGACAAUCUUUCUCAUUUGUUUAUUAUUUGUCUCCCCUGCCAAGCUCCCCCAGUGCAAGGACAAUGCCUGUCCUGUUCAAUGCUCUGUCCUAGAGUCUAGCACAGCACCUGGCAUGCAAUAGAUGCCUAGCAACACAAUGCCCACAAUUUGAACAAGCUACUCUCCCAUUCUGUGCUUCAGUUUCCUCAUCUGGGAAAGCAUCACAAUAACACCCACCUCUUAGGGUUGUUGCAAAAAUUAAAUGAGCCGAUGUUUGUAGAGCCCUAGAACAGCUCCUGGCCCACAGUAGGUGCCCGGCAGAAACAUAUAAAUAAAACACACAUGAACACAUUACAGAGAAUUACAGAUGCAUAGAUUAGAAAGUCAUAAUAUUGUUGGUCACCGAGUUGUAUAAUCUAUUACACUGUGGUUUAUGUUUACAUUUCAUUUUCUAUUUUACUUUUUCCUGACUUUUUAUUUUGACAAAUUGUAAUCCAUAGGAAGUUAAAAAAUAAAAAACAGAACAAUAAAUGCCUCAAUUCACCAGCGGUUGACUUUCUGUUUUGUGUACUUUCCCUCUCACUAGAUAGAAUGAGAAAAAUGAAUAUUUAUACUUUUAUUUUCUUGUCUGACCCAUGUGGCAGCAAGUUGAAGACACCAAGAUCAUUCACCCCUAACCUCUUCAGCUGCUGAUUUUUCUUUUUAAAUCUCUCACUCAAUGGAUGUAUGAAUUCUCUGGAACCAACUGUAACUUGAUUCCUGAUUUUAGAAAUCUGUAAUUCUACAAGUCUACAAAUCCAUGAAUCCUUGAAUCUGGAAAUAUUUGGGUCUAGCAAACAUCAUCUGCGGAUUCUCAGUCUACACGUCUGAGGUUGUCUCUCUCUCUCUCAGUUUCCCGGAUGCUUUCCCCUACGGGUCAAUCAAUCUGCAAGGCGUUGAGCCUGCUACCCUCAGUCAGAUUCCACCACUGGGUGCCUCUGAGCCCUGAUUCCCACUUCCCAGAAGCUGAGGCCUGGGACUGAGCAAGGGGAAAACCCAGCUGAUCCAGGCUCCUACA